GAGGUUGUAGCUGGCCUUCUCGGAGGCAUCGUGCACGCCCUGCCCGUCCCAUAUCAUACCUGUGAACUUUUUGGUAGGCGGGUUUGUGUCGGCCUCGAAAGGGGUCGACCGGCCCUCCGGCCGUCUUUAUAUACACACCAUACGAGUCUUUAGAAUGUUUGUGCGUCUCGACGCAUCUUAUAUAUAACUUUCAGCGACGGAUCUCUUGGCUCUCGCAUCGAUGAAGAACGCAGCGAAACGCGAUAAGUAAUGUGAAUUGCAGAAUUCAGUGAAUCAUCGAAUCUUUGAACGCACCUUGCGCUCCUCGGUAUUCCGAGGAGCAUGCCUGUUUGAGUGUCAUGAAAUUAUCAACCCCUCCUCCUUCAUCGGCGGUGGGGCUUGGACUUGGAGGCUUUGCGGGCUUUUAACGAGUCGGCUCCUCUCAAAUGCAUUAGCUCGAACCCCUGCGGAUCGGCCGUCGGUGUGAUAUAAUGUCUACGUCGUGGUCGUGAGCGUCGGAUCGGCUUCUAAUGGUCCCCUUUCGGAGGCGGAAUUUGAACUUGUGACCUCAAAUCAGGUAGGACUACCCGCUGAACUUAAGCAUAUCAAUAAGCCCG
rnacentral:rRNA from 1 species